rnacentral:rRNA from 1 species
CAAGACCUGCGGCAGCUUACACAUGCAGUCCCACGAUGAUUACCAGCUUGCUGGUAUGAUUAGUGGCGAACGGGUGAGUAAUGCUUAGGAAUCUGCCUGAUAGUGGGGGACAACAUUCCGAAAGGAAUGCUAAUACCGCAUACGACCUACGGGUGAAAGGGGGCUUUUAGCUCUCGCUAUCAGAUGAGCCUAAGUCGGAUAGCUAGUUGGUGGGGUAAAGGCCUACCAAGGCGACGAUCUGUAGCUGGUCUGAGAGGAUGAUCAGCCACACUGGGACUGAGACACGGCUCAGACUCCUACGGGAGGCAGCAGUGGGGAAUAUUGGACAAUGGGCGAAAGCCUGAUCCAGCCAUGCCGCGUGUGUGAAGAAGGCCUUUUGGUUGUAAAGCACUUUAAGUAGGGAGGAAAAGCUAAUGGUUAAUACCCAUUAGCCCUGACGUUACCUACAGAAUAAGCACCGGCUAACUCUGUGCUAGCAGCCGCGGUAAU